GGGUUGUGAGGUUAAGCGACUAAGCGUACACGGUGGAUGCCCUGGCAGUCAGAGGCGAUGAAGGACGUGCUAAUCUGCGAUAAGCGUCGGUAAGGUGAUAUGAACCGUUAUAACCGGCGAUUUCCGAAUGGGGAAACCCAGUGUGUUUCGACACACUAUCAUUAACUGAAUCCAUAGGUUAAUGAGGCGAACCGGGGGAACUGAAACAUCUAAGUACCCCGAGGAAAAGAAAUCAACCGAGAUUCCCCCAGUAGCGGCGAGCGAACGGGGAGCAGCCCAGAGCCUGAAUCAGUGUGUGUGUUAGUGGAAGCGUCUGGAAAGGCGCGCGAUACAGGGUGACAGCCCCGUACACAAAAAUGCACAUGCUGUGAGCUCGAUGAGUAGGGCGGGACACGUGGUAUCCUGUCUGAAUAUGGGGGGACCAUCCUCCAAGGCUAAAUACUCCUGACUGACCGAUAGUGAACCAGUACCGUGAGGGAAAGGCGAAAAGAACCCCGGCGAGGGGAGUGAAAAAGAACCUGAAACCGUGUACGUACAAGCAGUGGGAGCACGCUUAGGCGUGUGACUGCGUACCUUUUGUAUAAUGGGUCAGCGACUUAUAUUCUGUAGCAAGGUUAACCGAAUAGGGGAGCCGAAGGGAAACCGAGUCUUAACUGGGCGUUAAGUUGCAGGGUAUAGACCCGAAACCCGGUGAUCUAGCCAUGGGCAGGUUGAAGGUUGGGUAACACUAACUGGAGGACCGAACCGACUAAUGUUGAAAAAUUAGCGGAUGACUUGUGGCUGGGGGUGAAAGGCCAAUCAAACCGGGAGAUAGCUGGUUCUCCCCGAAAGCUAUUUAGGUAGCGCCUCGUGAAUUCAUCUCCGGGGGUAGAGCACUGUUUCGGCAAGGGGGUCAUCCCGACUUACCAACCCGAUGCAAACUGCGAAUACCGGAGAAUGUUAUCACGGGAGACACACGGCGGGUGCUAACGUCCGUCGUGAAGAGGGAAACAACCCAGACCGCCAGCUAAGGUCCCAAAGUCAUGGUUAAGUGGGAAACGAUGUGGGAAGGCCCAGACAGCCAGGAUGUUGGCUUAGAAGCAGCCAUCAUUUAAAGAAAGCGUAAUAGCUCACUGGUCGAGUCGGCCUGCGCGGAAGAUGUAACGGGGCUAAACCAUGCACCGAAGCUGCGGCAGCGACGCU
rnacentral:rRNA from 1 species